GCUGGCGGCGUGCCUAAUACAUGCAAGUCGAACGAACUCUGGUAUUGAUUGGUGCUUGCAUCAUGAUUUACAUUUGAGUGAGUGGCGAACUGGUGAGUAACACGUGGGAAACCUGCCCAGAAGCGGGGGAUAACACCUGGAAACAGAUGCUAAUACCGCAUAACAACUUGGACCGCAUGGUCCGAGCUUGAAAGAUGGCUUCGGCUAUCACUUUUGGAUGGUCCCGCGGCGUAUUAGCUAGAUGGUGGGGUAACGGCUCACCAUGGCAAUGAUACGUAGCCGACCUGAGAGGGUAAUCGGCCACAUUGGGACUGAGACACGGCCCAAACUCCUACGGGAGGCAGCAGUAGGGAAUCUUCCACAAUGGACGAAAGUCUGAUGGAGCAACGCCGCGUGAGUGAAGAAGGGUUUCGGCUCGUAAAACUCUGUUGUUAAAGAAGAACAUAUCUGAGAGUAACUGUUCAGGUAUUGACGGUAUUUAACCAGAAAGCCACGGCUAACUACGUGCCAGCAGCCGCGGUAAUACGUAGGUGGCAAGCGUUGUCCGGAUUUAUUGGGCGUAAAGCGAGCGCAGGCGGUUUUUUAAGUCUGAUGUGAAAGCCUUCGGCUCAACCGAAGAAGUGCAUCGGAAACUGGGAAACUUGAGUGCAGAAGAGGACAGUGGAACUCCAUGUGUAGCGGUGAAAUGCGUAGAUAUAUGGAAGAACACCAGUGGCGAAGGCGGCUGUCUGGUCUGUAACUGACGCUGAGGCUCGAAAGUAUGGGUAGCAAACAGGAUUAGAUACCCUGGUAGUCCAUACCGUAAACGAUGAAUGCUAAGUGUUGGAGGGUUUCCGCCCUUCAGUGCUGCAGCUAACGCAUUAAGCAUUCCGCCUGGGGAGUACGGCCGCAAGGCUGAAACUCAAAGGAAUUGACGGGGGCCCGCACAAGCGGUGGAGCAUGUGGUUUAAUUCGAAGCUACGCGAAGAACCUUACCAGGUCUUGACAUACUAUGCAAAUCUAAGAGAUUAGACGUUCCCUUCGGGGACAUGGAUACAGGUGGUGCAUGGUUGUCGUCAGCUCGUGUCGUGAGAUGUUGGGUUAAGUCCCGCAACGAGCGCAACCCUUAUUAUCAGUUGCCAGCAUUAAGUUGGGCACUCUGGUGAGACUGCCGGUGACAAACCGGAGGAAGGUGGGGAUGACGUCAAAUCAUCAUGCCCCUUAUGACCUGGGCUACACACGUGCUACAAUGGAUGGUACAACGAGUUGCGAACUCGCGAGAGUAAGCUAAUCUCUUAAAGCCAUUCUCAGUUCGGAUUGUAGGCUGCAACUCGCCUACAUGAAGUCGGAAUCGCUAGUAAUCGCGGAUCAGCAUGCCGCGGUGAAUACGUUCCCGGGCCUUGUACACACCGCCCGUCACACCAUGAGAGUUUGUAACACCCAAAGUCGGUGGGGUAACCUUUUAGGAACCAGCCGCCUAAGGUGGGAC
rnacentral:rRNA from 1 species